GACUCAAUGAAGCAGAAAAACAAUGUUAGUCUUUGGUGGCCAGGGAAAAGGAGGAAAGCUCGUGGUGGUCUCCAGAUGAUCUGGCCCUGACUGAAGCAAAUCUCCUUCCACAAGGAGGGAGCAAAGGCCUGGCAAGUGCAGUGAAGUUCCGAUGCUCUGUGAAGGAUUUGAGACUCAGCUGAGAAUUCUGGUAGUGAACUGUAUCUUAGUGGCACAGAAAAUCCAGUUCCCUGCAGAGAGUCUGAUAUUCGUCCCUGGGGUAACAGCAAACACUGCAAAAUAAAGGAGUUUCACAGGCGCAAUGGAACAGCCCAAAAUCAUACUGAUCUGUAAACCUGUGCACUUCCCUGUGUAGCUGGAGCAGCAGUGUGGUGGUUUGCUUGUCUGUUGUUCACUUUCCUUCUACCAGACUUGCCACAGAAUUUACUGGGCAAAAUUUAAAGGCAAAUUAUGUUUUAUUUCCAAGUGUUGCAAGGGAAUGUCAUAGAGAGAAUUUGGUUCCUAAGCAGCCCUGUUAUCAAUGAGCAGCUAAGAAAACACAUUAGGAACUUAAAGAUAUUAAAUGCAUCAGGAAGAAGAAAAAAAUUGAUUGUGAUAUUUCAAUCAGAAUUUUAA
rnacentral:lncRNA from 1 species